AUGGAGAGCAAGGAUCAGCACCUCAGUCAGGGCAGGAUCCCCUGGAUGCCGGAUCCAGGAUGUGAUCCCGAGGAUCAUCCCAAUCCCAGCUCUCCCAGGGCUCAUCCCAAUCCCAGCUCUCCCCCUCCAUGUCCCAGCCCCAGCUCACGUGCAGGAAGAUCUUGUAAUCCACGUAGGAAUUCCAGGAGCCCUCGUUGUGCACGCGGGGAUCCUGCACCCGCACCGUGGUCAGCUCCUGCGGGAUUCCGGGAAUGGGAUUCCAAAAAACGGGAUCCACCCCAGCCCUGCCUUCCCAGAGUUCUGGGAAUGGGAUCAGGGGCUCCAAAAACCGGGAUCCACCCCAGCCCUGCCUUCCCAGAUUCCUGGGAAUGGGAUCAGGGGAUCCAAAAAAUGGGAUCCACCCCAUUCCUGCCUUCCCAGAGUUCUGGGAAUGGGAUCAGGGCUCCAAAAACAGGAUCCACCCCCAUUCCUGCCUUCCCAUAUUCCUGGGAAUGGGAUCAGGGGAUCCAAAAAAUGGGAUCCACCCCAUUCCUGCCUUCCCAGAGUUCUGGGAAUGGGAUCAGGGCUCCAAAAACAGGAUCCACCCCCAUUCCUGCCUUCCCAUAUUCCUGGGAAUGGGAUCAGGGGAUCCAAAAAAUGGGAUCCACCCCAUUCCUGCCUUCCCAGAGUUCUGGGAAUGGGAUCAGGGCUCCAAAAACAGGAUCCACCCCCAUUCCUGCCUUCCCAUAUUCCUGGGAAUGGGAUCAGGGGAUCCAAAAAAUGGGAUCCACCCCAUUCCUGCCUUCCCAGAUUCCUGGGAAUGGGAUCAGGGAUUCCAAAAACAGGAUCCACCCCCCAUUCCUGCCUUCCCAGAGUUUUGGGAAUGGGAUUGGGGAACUCAAAAAACUGGGCUCCAGCCCCAUUCCUGCUUUUCCAGACAUUCCCAUUCCCAUUCCCAUUCCCAUUCCCAUUCCCAUUCCCAUUCCCAUUCCCAUUCCCAUUCCCAUUCCCAUUCCCAUUCCCAUUCCCAUUCCCAUUCCCAUUCCCAUUCCCAUUCCC
rnacentral:lncRNA from 1 species